rnacentral:rRNA from 1 species
AACGAACGCUGGCGGCAGGCCUAACACAUGCAAGUCGAGCGCCCGGCAAGGAGGGCGGCAGACGUGUGAGUAACGCGUGGGAACGUACCUUUUGGUUCGGAACAACCCCGGGAAACUGGGGCUAAUACGGGAUAAGCCCGAACGUGGAAAGGGUUAUCUCCAAAAGAUCGGCCCGAGUCUGAUUAGCUAGUUGGCGGGGUAACGGCGCACCAAGGCGACUAUCAUUAGCUGGUCUUAGAGGAUGAGCAGCCACACUGGGACUGGGCAACGGCAGAGACUCCUACGCGAGGCAGCAGUGGGGGAUAUUGCAACAUGGGGGCAAGGAUGAUCGAGCCAUGCCGGGUGAGUGAUGAAGGCCUUAGGGUUGUAAAGCUCUUUUGUCCGGGAAGAUAAUGACUGUACCGGAAGAAUAAGCCCCGGCUAACUUCGUG